rnacentral:rRNA from 2 species
AGAGUUUGAUCCUGGCUCAGGACGAACGCUGGCGGCGUGCCUAACACAUGCAAGUCGAACGGAGUUAGUCGCAACAUCGAGCGCAUGGGAAAUAUGCGUUGGAUGUUGUGAUUAACUUAGUGGCGGACGGGUGAGUAACGCGUGAGUAACCUGCCUAACUGAGGGGGAUAACGUUUGGAAACAAACGCUAAUACCGCAUAAUACAAGAAGUUCGCAUGAAUUUCUUGUCAAAGGAGCAAUUCGCAGUUAGAUGGACUCGCGUCCGAUUAGCCAGUUGGCGGGGUAACGGCCCACCAAAGCGACGAUCGGUAGCCGGACUGAGAGGUUGAACGGCCACAUUGGGACUGAGACACGGCCCAGACUCCUACGGGAGGCAGCAGUGGGGAAUAUUGCACAAUGGGGGAAACCCUGAUGCAGCAACGCCGCGUGAGGGAAGAAGGUUUUCGGAUUGUAAACCUCUGUCCUAGGAGAAGAUAAAAGACGGUAACCUAGGAGGAAGCUCCGGCUAACUACGUGCCAGCAGCCGCGGUAAUACGUAGGGAGCGAGCGUUGUCCGGAAUUACUGGGUGUAAAGGGUGCGUAGGCGGCCAAACAAGUCAGACGUGAAAGGCAUAGGCUUAACCUGUGGAUUGCGUUUGAAACUGUAUGGCUUGAGUGGAAUAGAGGCAGGCGGAAUUCCCGGUGUAGCGGUGAAAUGCGUAGAGAUCGGGAGGAACACCAGUGGCGAAGGCGGCUUGCUGGGAUCUAACUGACGCUGAGGCACGAAAGUAUGGGUAGCAAACAGGAUUAGAUACCCUGGUAGUCCAUACUGUAAACGAUGAUUACUAGGUGUGGGAGAGUAGAACCCUUCCGUGCCGGAGUUAACACAAUAAGUAAUCCACCUGGGGAGUACGGUCGCAAGACUGAAACUCAAAGGAAUUGACGGGGGCCCGCACAAGCAGUGGAGUAUGUGGUUUAAUUCGAAGCAACGCGAAGAACCUUACCAGGUCUUGACAUCCAACUAACGAGGUAGAGAUACGUUAGGUGCCCUUCGGGGAAAGUUGAGACAGGUGGUGCAUGGUUGUCGUCAGCUCGUGUCGUGAGAUGUUGGGUUAAGUCCCGCAACGAGCGCAACCCUUACUGUUAGUUGCUACGAAAGAGCACUCUAGCAGGACUGCCGUUGACAAAACGGAGGAAGGUGGGGAUGACGUCAAAUCAUCAUGCCCCUUAUGACCUGGGCAACACACGUACUACAAUGGCCGUAAACAGAGGGAAGCAAAACAGUGAUGUGGAGCAAACCCCUAAAAACGGUCCCAGUUCGGAUUGUAGGCUGCAACUCGCCUACAUGAAGUCGGAAUUGCUAGUAAUCGCGAAUCAGAAUGUCGCGGUGAAUACGUUCCCGGGCCUUGUACACACCGCCCGUCACACCAUGGGAGCCGGUAAUACCCGAAGCCGAUAGUCCAACCGCAAGGAGGACGUCGUCGAAGGUAGGAUUGGCGACUGGGGUGAAGUCGUAACAAGGUAGCC